rnacentral:rRNA from 1 species
UGAAGAGUUUGAUCCUGGCUCAGGAUGAACGCUAGCGGCAGGCCUAACACAUGCAAGUCGAACGGUAACAGGGAAAAGCUUGCUUUUCCGCUGACGAGUGGCGCACGGGUGCGUAACGCGUAUACAAUCUACCUUUUACAGGGGGAUAGCCUUUAGAAAUGAAGAUUAAUACCCCAUGGCAUUAUAAACCGGCAUCGGUUUAUAAUUAAAGUUUCGGCGGUAGGAGAUGAGUAUGCGUUCUAUUAGCUAGUAGGUGUGGUAACGGCACACCUAGGCAACGAUAGAUAGGGGCCCUGAGAGGGGGAUCCCCCACACUGGUACUGAGACACGGACCAGACUCCUACGGGAGGCAGCAGUGAGGAAUAUUGGACAAUGGAGGCAACUCUGAUCCAGCCAUGCCGCGUGCAGGAAGACUGCCCUAUGGGUUGUAAACUGCUUUUGUACAGGAAGAAACCUUUCCACGUGUGGAGAGCUGACGGUACUGUAAGAAUAAGGAUCGGCUAACUCCGUGCCAGCAGCCGCGGUAAUACGGAGGAUGCAAGCGUUAUCCGGAAUCAUUGGGUUUAAAGGGUCCGUAGGUGGAUUGGUCAGUCAGAGGUGAAAUCCUGCAGCUCAACUGUAGAACUGCCUUUGAUACUGCCGGUCUUGAAUUAUUGUGAAGUGGUUAGAAUAUGUAGUGUAGCGGUGAAAUGCAUAGAUAUUACAUAGAAUACCAAUUGCGAAGGCAGAUCACUAACAAUAUAUUGACACUGAUGGACGAAAGCGUGGGGAGCGAACGGGAUUAGAUACCCCGGUAGUCCACGCCGUAAACGAUGGUCACUAGCUGUUCGGACUUCGGUCUGAGUGGCUAAGCGAAAGUGAUAAGUGACCCACCUGGGGAGUACGUUCGCAAGAAUGAAACUCAAAGGAAUUGACGGGGGCCCGCACAAG